CAGGGAACUUAGAAACUAAUCUUUGCCAACAUACUGGAUUUCUGGUGAUGACAAUAGCAGCAGAUAGUAUGCGGCUCAGUUAAUACUAAAAACAAUUGAUUUUAGUAAUUAGUGGACUAUGAGUGUGUGUUUGACCAUCCAGAUUUCAUAACUACAACUGAUGUUCAAUUACAAGGGAUAUUAAUCAGUCUCCGUGGACUAUACACUGUGCCUAGUUUCAUCCUCAGAGACUGAUGUGUAAGCUUAAAGUAAAGACAUCAAAUCAAAGUAUCAGCCAUCAAGAGGAAAAACAUUCAAAAUCAUAUUGUGAUACACAAGUCAAGCAAGUCUAUGACCAGCAUUUUGAUACAGGCCAAGAAAAAGCUGGAUACUUGAUUGGAAGGGUCGCACAAAAAACAUGGGUUAUCACUAGGGAAACAAGCUCGCAAUACAGUUCACUGUUAGGACAGCAAGCCAAAUACUUCUAAACUUAUUUGAAUCAUUUUUGCUGUUUAUUAUAAUUCAUCCAAUUGUCUUAUUAAAUAUAUAAAUUUAUAUAUAUACACAAUUCCUAAUAUAGAAUUUCUAAAAAUGUUUUAUUAUAAUAUUUCAAAAUGAAA